rnacentral:rRNA from 1 species
UACGGAGGGUGCAAGCGUUAUCCGGAUUUACUGGGUUUAAAGGGUGCGUAGGUGGGUCUGUAAGUCAGUGGUGAAAUCUUCAAGCUUAACUUGGAAACUGCCAUUGAUACUAUAGGUCUUGAAUUAUCUGGAGGUAAGCGGAAUAUGUCAUGUAGCGGUGAAAUGCUUAGAUAUGACAUAGAACACCAAUUGCGAAGGCAGCUUACUACGGAUCGAUUGACACUGAGGCACGAAAGCGUGGGGAGCGAACAGG